GAUGAACGCUGGCGGCGUGCCUAAUACAUGCAAGUCGAGCGAACGGACGAGAAGCUUGCUUCUCUGAUGUUAGCGGCGGACGGGUGAGUAACACGUGGAUAACCUACCUAUAAGACUGGGAUAACUUCGGGAAACCGGAGCUAAUACCGGAUGAUAUUUUGAACCGCAUGGUUCAAAAGUGAAAGACGGUCUUGCUGUCACUUAUAGAUGGAUCCGCGCUGCAUUAGCUAGUUGGUAAGGUAACGGCUUACCAAGGCAACGAUGCAUAGCCGACCUGAGAGGGUGAUAGGCCACACUGGAACUGAGACACGGUCCAGACUCCUACGGGAGGCAGCAGUAGGGAAUCUUCCGCAAUGGGCGAAAGCCUGACGGAGCAACGCCGCGUGAGUGAUGAAGGUCUUCGGAUCGUAAAACUCUGUUAUUAGGGAAGAACAUAUGUGUAAGUAACUGUGCACAUCUUGACGGUACCUAAUCAGAAAGCCACGGCUAACUACGCG
rnacentral:rRNA from 1 species